AGUUGUCCACCCCUGGUCUAGGUUGUCAGGAACAAUGGUGGACAUCUUGAAGCAAGUGCGGACAGCAGACUGGGAUAGGGAGUGUGACAAUAAUGCUAGUACCAACUCGAACCCAGGCGCAGAGAAACACAGCAGGCAGAGAUUGUCCAAAUGCAGGAUGAUGUCAGUACGGACACGUUUGUCCAGGACCUCUCCAUGACCCUGCAGCCUGUGAAGGUGGCCCUCACACUGCCUUCCUAGAGUUCAGCUGACC